UCAUUUGUUGGGGGUAUUUGUUAUCUUCUAUACAUUUUUUCUUGUCCAUAGAUCUCGUGUUUGGUAAUUUUCAUCUGUAGAAAUAGAAAAUGGGUAAAAACAAGGUCUUUGACGAUGAAGAAGAAA